rnacentral:lncRNA from 1 species
CAACCGGCGCAAUUUCCUACCCGUUUUUGCCGGAUUUUAUGCCCUAGCGGUUUCAUAAAGAAAACGGGGUUGUAUUUUGCGACCGAAAUUCUACUACGUCGACUUUUAUGCCCAACAGCUGUUUUUGGAGAGAAAUGCAGCAGAUCGGUUUCAUAAAACGAUGCAUUUUACACUCAAGUAAUUUUUCAUGUUCUUGAUAUCCCACAAAAUUCUGCGUUGCUCUGAGCUGCAUAAAUUUGACCAAACUUUGACAUCAACAGUUGUCUUGAACAUCGAAGUGUGGAAGUGAAUCGAAUUUUCUACCUAUUUAUUUUGAAAUAACUAUUUGACCAAGAAUCAGGAGCUUUGAAGGCACAAGGCAGUUCACUGGUCUCAAGUCAAAGUUGUCAGUAUUGCGAGUGCAUACCUACAUCAAUUGAAGGUCUUCCAACCAAGAGCGCGCCAGCUGUGACCAGCCAGCUGGUGCAGAGGGCAUAUCAGGAGAAGCCGUCCUGGCUCAUCACACCACGGCCGUGCCGUCCGCUGCCGGUUCCGUGUUGGAACCCGGAGCGCUGGAGUGGCCUCCGCGCGCAUCUCUGAACCUCUCCAGCCGCAUCCAGUCACCGGGACCGCGGCCGCCCAUGAGGACGUCAUUAGAGAGCAGAAGGAGCUGCGCGCACGGCUGCAGCAGUUCAUGGGCGGCGGCGCUGUGGACUCUGCCGAGCACGAGAAGCUGCCACCCCGACCGAGCUGAGCGGUCCGCUCGCCCUGGCCGAGGUGGCGCGCUAGCAGGCCGCCCAGCGGAUACUGUCGCUGAUCGAGCAGAUCGGCGCCAGCGAGUACGUGGACGGACACGCGGCUCCGCUGCACGUGUGCCAGCACUGCGGCGCCCGCGGCAAGCGCGUCCCAUAAUAGUUGGACCAGACUGUGCAAAACCGCCUAUAUUAAACCGUUUCAGUGUCUGACACUGUGUGAUGGGGCCGGCUGCGUCCCCGACUGGGCGAGUGAACGAUUCGCCUCCGCAGCGGGGCAUAUAUUGCUCAAAAUGGUGGGCGAGUCGUCUUCAGCGAGUUUCGAGGAAAUUAUUAGCGUGUUGCCAUGUUGGGGGCGGAUCGGCGUCUGUCUGGGUGGUUACGUUUGGAAUUGUUUCAUUGUUUAUUUUAUAUCACAAUGCAUGAAUUUUUUGGUGAUAAACAUAUGCACGGUGUACUUCAUCAGCGACGCCACGACGCACCUGAACGUGCAGUCAGCGGCCGGCUGCGUCCCUUUCCUACCCCACCCGCCAAAAUUUCUGAAAAUGUGUGCUUUGGUCCGGUCGGAAACAAUCCUUGCUUUUACAAAAUUUGUGAUUUAUUCAUAAUUCAUGGCCAGCAAUAGCAUAAUUACCUUUUCAUUAGUAGAAUAACAGCUGUUGGAAUUUGCAUCGCAGCUAUCAGAGCGAUUCCGGUUAAACUUCAAACACUUGUCUCAAACGAUCUCAGAUGUGCGGACUAGCAAAUAAAGCAACGACACAACUUC